AUUGAACGCUGGCGGCAGGCUUAACACAUGCAAGUCGAGCGGGGUGAUGGUGCUUGCACUAUCACUUAGCGGCGGACGGGUGAGUAAUGCUUAGGAAUCUGCCUAUUAGUGGGGGACAACAUCUCGAAAGGGAUGCUAAUACCGCAUACGUCCUACGGGAGAAAGCAGGGGAUCACUUGUGACCUUGCGCUAAUAGAUGAGCCUAAGUCGGAUUAGCUAGUUGGUGGGGUAAAGGCCUACCAAGGCGACGAUCUGUAGCGGGUCUGAGAGGAUGAUCCGCCACACUGGGACCGGCACACGGCCCAGGAUCCUACGGGAGGCAGCAGUGGGGAAUAUUGGGCAAUGGGGGGAACCCUGAUCCAGCCAUGCCGCGUGUGUGAAGGAGGCCUUAUGGUUGUAAAGCACUUUAAGCGAGGAGGAGGCUCUUUUGGUUAAUACCCAAGAUGAGUGGACGUUACUCGCAGAAUAAGCACCGGCUAACUCUGUGCCAGCCGCCGCAGUAA
rnacentral:rRNA from 1 species